rnacentral:rRNA from 1 species
GACGAACGCUGGCGGCGUGCCUAAUACAUGCAAGUAGAACGCACAGUUUAUACCGUAGCUUGCUACACCAUAGACUGUGAGUUGCGAACGGGUGAGUAACGCGUAGGUAACCUGCCUGGUAGCGGGGGAUAACUAUUGGAAACGAUAGCUAAUACCGCAUAAUAUUAAUUAUUGCAUGAUAAUUAAUUGAAAGGUGCAAUUGCACCACUACCAGAUGGACCUGCGUUGUAUUAGCUAGUAGGUGAGGUAACGGCUCACCUAGGCGACGAUACAUAGCCGACCUGAGAGGGUGAUCGGCCACACUGGGACUGAGACACGGCCCAGACUCCUACGGGAGGCAGCAGUAGGGAAUCUUCGGCAAUGGACGAAAGUCCGACCGAGCAACGCCGCGUGAGUGAAGAAGGUUUUCGGAUCGUAAAGCUCUGUUGUAAGAGAAGAACGGGUGUGAGAGUGGAAAGUUCACACUGUGACGGUAUCUUACCAGAAAGGGACGGCUAACUACGUG